AUACGGAGGAUGCAAGCGUUAUCCGGAUUUAUUGGGUUUAAAGGGUGCGUAGGCGGUUUGCUAAGCGGGAGGUGAAAUGCCGGCGCUCAACGUCGGAAGUGCCUCCCGAACUGGUGGACUGGAAUGACUCUGCCGUGGGAGGAAUGUGUAGUGUAGCGGUGAAAUGCUUAGAGAUUACACAGAACACCGAUUGCGAAGGCAUCUCACGAAGGGUUGAUUGACGCUGAGGCACGAAAGCGUGGGGAUCAAACAGGAUUAGAUACCCUGGUAGUCCGCACAGUAAACGAUGGAUACUCGCUGUCGGCGAUAUACGGUCGGUGGCCAAGCGAAAGCGUUAAGUAUCCCACCUGGGGAGUACGCCGGCAACGGUGAAACUCAAAUGAAUUGACGGGG
rnacentral:rRNA from 1 species